UGAUUCCGUAGCUCAGCUGGGAGAGCGCUACCUUGACAGGGUAGAGGUCGCUGGUUCGAGCCCAGUCGGAAUCAUC
rnacentral:tRNA from 3 species